rnacentral:lncRNA from 1 species
UGAGUCUCCUGCAUUGCUGGCAGAUUCUUUGUCAUCUGAGCCACCAGGGAAGCCCUUCUACAUAGGGUUGCUGCUGCUGCUGCUACUUCUAAAUCUCUUCAUCCAUGGGGUCCAAUGACAGGACUUAGCACAGGCAUGCAUGCCAAGAUGUUAAGUACCUUUCCCAGGAUUGCCUGGCUGCUGAAUGGAGGGGUCAGAAUCCGAACCGAGGUCAGCCUCAGAUUUAAUGAGCACGUGCUGUGAGUGGGCUCUGUGCUCGGUCCUGCUCUUAAGGGAGAGCCGUCCGGGCUAGAGUGGAGACGUGGUUGAUGUGCUGCGUUCACUGCUGCUUACGGUCACCACACCCUCUUCAGUCUCAGCUUGCCUCUACUUACCCUCUGCUGAGCCGUCAGUCAGGAAGAUAUUUUUAAAGCAAUUCCUUUGUACACUAAGUCACCUCCAUAUGGACGUGUUCCAUUUCAAGAGCGCGUCCAUAAGUCCAGUUGUUCAGAAGUCUGACAGAGUUGACCUAGGUACCCAACCCACAUAAUCAGCUAUAUAGUACUGUACUGUAAUCGUUUAUAAUACUUUUCACACAAAUAAUACGUAAAAAUAAAGAAAACAUUGGAGCCUUCCAGUACAGUACCUUGAUGAGUGCAGCAGGGCGGCACACUGGCAUCCAGGGACACGCUCACAUCUUCGAGAGUUCACAGCUUGAAGGCUCGCACUGCAUGGUGCGUCGGAGAGCGUGAGGCGGUGUGCUGCACUUGUGGGAACACGGGCUCUAGAGGACAGAACUGGGUUCCUAUACUGCCUCUUGCCCUUGGAAGGCUUAA